AAGUCUUAGAUAGCAUGCAGAUAAGACAACAUCAAACAUGGCAAGAACGGCAAGCAAUAGCUGCAUGGGGACGUAAUGAUAGAAGAAGAAUUUUCACAGAAUAUGUUUGAAGAAAGCCACUGUAUCAUUCAAAAAGUGACCAGUGUCACGAGGCCAUUGCUCUGUAAGAUGUAUGACCAGCAAGAAACACCUUAGUUUUCAAUGUGAUACAAAUACUCCCUCUGGUAUGCCAUUUCAUCGACGGCUAUUGUGUUCUUGUGACCGCUUGGAAGUAUUACAAUCAGAUCAUUUUAUCGAGGCAGAGGGAAACAUUAUAACAAAAGAUGUCUGCGUCCCAUGCUUCGUACCUCAUAAAUGCUGCGAUAUAAGCUGCCAUGGAUCGAUGUCACUUAUUCCCAAUGUUACAGAAUCAAUUGUGGUUGUCACUGAGCGAGGUCGAUUCCCUUUAAAGGGGGCAACUUUCGUUUGCGAUACUUUUGAUUCUCUAACGAAAGCAACAAUCGAUGAUAAUGUAUUUUCUGGGGUUUUCCCGGCAAGUUUAUCGGAAACGGUCACAUACCUGUUUUCAGAAGAGGGACUUCUUCUAUGCCACCACAUUUCCCACAAACGUCUAGGUUCUUCGAAGAACAUGUACGCUCACACUCUUGAAGAAGUAUCUAAGGAAUAUAAACGGAAUGGACCAAUCAAUAUAUUAUUGUUCACUACUGCGGAAAGAGAGUGGGAAACAUGUCACCACUACAUUGACCAGGAAGUAUUUAAAAGGAAAAAAAUUUAUUGCCCCAGUUGCGGAACAAAACCUUUAGUGAGAUUAUCUGAUGCUAUCAUAAAGCUGAGACAUUUGGCGUCUGCCGGAGAAGCAAGGAAACCAGAAAACGAAAGAGUGUAAGCAUUGUUUAUAAGUUAA